rnacentral:sRNA from 1 species
AUCGAUUCAGAGGUCUUUCUUCUUCUUGUAAUGGAGACGAAGAUAUCAAAUGCCAACUUCUUCAUAAACAAAACAAACUUCUUUUUCUUCAUGCUGUCUCUCAUCUUCAGCACCACCAUUGCAUGUUUAGAUGCAAGCAAGUGCCCCGUGUUGGCCAAAACUCAUGCACAUCAUCAGAAAUAUGAGGGGAGAAUUGGACAUGGUACGGUGUUUGAAAGCAAAGCAAAGAUUUCCUCGGAUUGGGCAAGGAGGUUUCUGGUUGGACCUGGGUCAUCACCUCCCCUGUGCACCUCCAAGUGUGGCAACUGUACACCCUGCAGACCGGUGCAUGUGACGGUGCCGCCGGGUACUCCGGUGACUGCAGAGUACUAUCCAGAAGCGUGGAGGUGCAAGUGUGGUAACAAGUUGAACAUGC